AAUCCAAGAUUGCGAUUUUUGUACUACACAUAGGUACUGGACACUGAGAUUUGUAUCCAGAAUCUAUUCUAGUGCAAAAAUUGCUCUGGAUUCUUUUUU
rnacentral:pre_miRNA from 1 species